GUGAGAAAGACUCUCCUUGAAACGGGCCCGGAUGCUGCCUGCCCUUCUUUUCAGACACCCCCCUGGAGUUCAUCGGGCAAGACUGACACCACCUCCUGGCCCCCAAACUGUGCUCCAGAAAGAAAUUGUUAGUUGCGGAAUCAAACUGGCCAACUGGCUGCAAUCUCUGUGAACCGAACGCAGGUGGGACAUCUCCUUUGUGACUCUCACUUUGAAAGGUGCCCUGAGAGUAACAGGCUGAUGUGGGACCACGUUAAAGCUGCUUUGAGGCAGCGCCUGGGAACACGGUGACACCAAGGAGGGCAGAACACAACCUCAGAGCACGGUUCUCACCAGGCAUCUAGGCUCAGAGGCUGUCCUGCAUUCCAUUGAUCGCCUUCAGAGUGAGCUCUGCACAGGAUACGGAUGCCAGGACACUGCACGGAGCUACACCCGGCCCCUUGGGAGCCUGUUUGCACAGGUCACUUUCUACAUGGAGUCACGUGACAUGGAUCAACUCAUAACCCUACAAAGCAAGAGAACCAUCAAAGUGCAAUAUCGUAACAACCAAAUUUGUGUCUGCAACUCGUUAAAAAGAAGCUGUGUUCUACCUUCGUUUUCUACAGAAGCAGGCUGCAUGUCCAUCCUGAUAUUUUCACCCUAAACCUAAUACACUGCUUACCUAACGGAAAGAUUAUGCAGCGCAUAGCUGCCUUUAUUCUUUAGAAUGCGCUUUUUUUCAAUAUAAAUAGUGGCAAGAUUACUAUUUAGAAAUGAUCUUCCUUAGUUAGCAGAGCCCCAAAGCUAGUGGGCUUGUCCUUAUACCUUAUCUUUGCGUCUGAUGUUGAAUUACACAUCUCAACGAACCUCUCCACUGACAAGAAGCAAGAACAAGGUGAUGGGCUGAUGCGGGGUCAGUGCGUUUGCACACGUGACAUGACUGUUCUCGGGACACGUCUUUGCAGAGGGACGUCUGACUGACUGCAGAUCCACGUCCGCAGAGGCCCCCUGGUCCCGGUCCCAUGUGAAUCUGCACUUGGCUACACUGGGGCCCAUGUGCUCCUUUCCCUCACGCCUCUCAGUGGGAGGUGGAAAUGGGGGGGGGGAGUGCCUCAGCCCCUCCCUCGGCUCCAGCAUCCCUGCCACGUUAGCACCACGUGUGGCUGCAGAGCUUUACAACACAGCAGCCCUUUUUUCUGUUUCAUUGAGAAAUAACUGAUGUCCCUUACUGUAUACGUUCAGCAUAUGCUUAAGGCGUUCAGCCUGAUGGUGUGAUUCACACACGUUGUGAAAUGAUCACAGUAGGGUUAGCUAACAUCCCUUGCCUCAUAUAGAUACAAUAAAAAGGAAAGAAAGAAGAGGAAAAAUACUUUCUCCUUGUGACGAGGACUCUUGGGAUCUACCCUCUUCUCAACUUUCGUAUAUAACACAGAGCAGUGUUAAUUCUGUUUAUCGUGUGGGACAUCGCUUCCCUAGAACUAUUUUAUCUUGUAACUGGAAGUUUGUGCCUUUUGACCACCUUCAUCCAACCCCCUCCUUCCACCUCUUACCUCUGGUGACCACAAGUCUGAUCUCUUUUUCUCUGAGUUUGGUGUUUUAUUCGUUUUGUUUUGUUUAGAUUCCACAUAUAAGUGAGAUCGUAGGUAUUUGUCUUUCUCUGACUUAUUUCACUGAGCAUAAUGUC